AGUUGCACGGUACUAUGCAGUCGAGCGCGUGCGUGUUUACGUAACCUUUUGGGAACGAUAACGGCGUCAAGCGGCGGACGGUCGAGUAAUGCCUACGAAAUUGCCCUGAUGUGGGGGAUAACCAUUGGAAACGAUGGCUAAUACCGCAUGAUGCCUACGGGCCAAAGAGGGGGACCUUCGGGCCUCUCGCGUCAGGAUAUGCCUAGGUGGGAUUAGCUAGUUGGUGAGGUAAGGGCUCACCAAGGCCACCAUCCCUAGCUGGUCUGAGAGGAUGAUCAUCCACACUGGAACUGAGACGCGGUCCAGACUCCUACGGGAGGCAACAGUGGGGAAUAUUGCACAAUGGGCGCAAGCCUGAUGCAGCCAUGCCGCGUGUGUGAAGAAGGCCUUCGGGUUGUAAAGCACUUUCAUUCGUGAGGAAGGUGGUGUCGUUAAUAGCUGCAUUAUUUGACGUUAGCGACAGAAGAAGCACCGGCUAACUCCGUGCCAGCAGCCGCGGUAAUACGGAGGGUGCGAGCGUUAAUCGGAAUUACUGGGCGUAAAGCGCAUGCAGGUGGUUUGUUAAGUCAGAUGUGAAAGCCCGGGGCUCAACCUCGGAAUAGCAUUUGAAACUGGCAGACUAGAGUACUGUAGAGGGGGGUAGAAUUUCAGGUGUAGCGGUGAAAUGCGUAGAGAUCUGAAAGGAAUACGGUGGCGAAGGCGGGCCCCCUGACAGGAUACUGACACUCAUAUGCGAAAGCGUGGGGGAGCAAACAGGAUUAGAUACCCUGUUAGUCCACCCCCGUAAACGAUGUCUACUUGGAGGUUGUGUCCUGAACCCGUGGCUUCUGGAGCUACCCGUUAAGUAGACCGCCGGGGAGUACGGCCCCGGAUAAUACUCAAUGAAUUGAUGGGUGCCGCCCUUUCGUGGAGCUAUGAUUAGUCGUUGCACGCAAAACUUACUAUCCCUG
rnacentral:rRNA from 1 species